UUGGAUAUGAUGAUUUUUUCCCCAAAUGAUCGAAACUGAACAUACUGUGCGACUUUUCAAUUCUCUUCCAGAGAAUUUAAGCCAGAUCUCUGAUCCGU